rnacentral:rRNA from 1 species
AUUGAACGCUGGCGGCAUGCUUUACACAUGCAAGUCGAACGGUAACAGGCCGCAAGGUGCUGACGAGUGGCGGACGGGUGAGUAAUGCAUCGGAACGUGCCCAGUCGUGGGGGAUAACUACUCGAAAGAGUAGCUAAUACCUCAUACGAUCUAUGGAUGAAAGCGGGGGACCGUAAGGCCUCGCGCGGUUGGAGCGGCCGAUGUCAGAUUAGGUAGUUGGCGGGGUAAAGGCUCACCAAGCCAACGAUCUGUAGCUGGUCUGAGAGGACGACCAGCCACACUGGAACUGAGACACGGCCCAGACUCCUACGGGAGGCAGCAGUGGGGAAUUUUGGACAAUGGGCGCAAGCCUGAUCCAGCAAUGCCGCGUGCAGGAAGAAGGCCUUCGGGUUGUAAACUGCUUUUGUACGGAACGAAACGGCUCUGGUUAAUACCCGGGGCUAAUGACGGUACCGUAAGAAUAAGCACCGGCUAACUACGUG